CCGACGGUGAGAGGCGAAAGCUGGGGGAGCAAACCGGAUUAGAUACCCGGGUAGUCCCAGCUGUAAACGAUGCGCGUUAGGUGUGUCAGUGACCACGUGUCACUGAUGUGCCGAAGGGAAACCGUGAAACGCGCCGCCUGGGGAGUACGGUCGCAAGGCUGAAACUUAAAGGAAUUGGCGGGGGAGCACCACAACGGGUGGAGCCUGAGGUUUAAUCGGACUCAACGCCGGAAAUCUCACCGGAUAA
rnacentral:rRNA from 1 species